rnacentral:rRNA from 1 species
AGUAACGCGUGGGUAACCUGCCUCAUACAGGGGGAUAACAGUUAGAAAUGACUGCUAAUACCGCAUAAGACCACAGUACUGCAUGGUACAGUGGUAAAAACUCCGGUGGUAUGAGAUGGACCCGCGUCUGAUUAGGUAGCUGGUGAGGUAACGGCCCACCAAGCCGACGAUCAGUAGCCGACCUGAGAGGGUGACCGGCCACAUUGGGACUGAGACACGGCCCAG